AACGAACGCUGGCGGCAGGCCUAACACAUGCAAGUCGAGCGAGGACUUCGGUCCUAGCGGCGGACGGGUGAGUAACGCGUGGGAACGUGCCCUUUGCUUCGGAAUAGCCCUGGGAAACUGGGAGUAAUACCGGAUGAGCCCUUUGGGGGAAAGAUUUAUCGGCGAAGGAUCGGCCCGCGUUGGAUUAGGUAGUUGGUGGGGUAAUGGCCUACCAAGCCGACGAUCCAUAGCUGGUUUGAGAGGAUGAUCAGCCACACUGGGACUGAGACACGGCCCAGACUCCUACGGGAGGCAGCAGUGGGGAAUCUUAGACAAUGGGGGAAACCCUGAUCUAGCCAUGCCGCGUGAGUGAUGAAGGCCUUAGGGUUGUAAAGCUCUUUCAGCUGGGAAGAUAAUGACGGUACCAGCAGAAGAAGCCCCGGCUAACUCCGUG
rnacentral:rRNA from 1 species